UCUACCUCCUACAUUUACUGACUUCUCAAGCAGAUACCCGGCUUAUCGUGUUCUUGCUCUGAUUCACCCGAGAGAAGAAAACAAGGUUAAAGUGGGUCACGACCUUUAGAAGACCUACAGGGAACUUGAAGAGGCGAAAAUAUAAAGCCAGAGAUGUGGAGUGGCAGAAGAAGGAGAGGGCACAUUAUUGCAGGGUGUAUUUUUAGGAUUGGAAAUUGGUGUGGAGGGCUGCAGAGGUGGCCCCAUCCUGUUGUAAUCAUUUGACUGGCGCUGAGUCAUGCGUAAAAAUAGCAUCGCCCCUCCGAGCCUCGUGUGACAUCAGCAUCCCACUUGGACAGAUGCUAACGAAAUGCUUCAGGCGGGUGUAAAAGAAAGGUAUACAGCGUCUUGCUUGUAGUUACCUGAGGUUUUAACACCUGGGCGGAAGCCGUAUCUGUUGCUCGGGAUACGAAAAUUUCAGGAUAAAGAAACUGUGUGUUUAUGCAUGUUUGUGUGUGGGUACGGGGUGGCUGCCACUGUCAGGUGUGUGGGGGUGGACUUGGAGUCACGGAUACUACCUACCUGUCGACGUGAGAUUCCACUGACUGAGUCUACGUCACUGGUCAGACCUGGCUGCAGGCGCUGUACUGCCGUCCUGUGUAUCAACAACAACUGCCUGUGGCCCAAGUAAGUCAGGCCGUCCCCAGCUCAGCACCAUGAUGCCCGGCAAGACCAGUGUUUACAUCACCAUGGAGACGCCGGCAUGCAGUUAGCCAUGUUUUCCGGUCAUCGAUUGGUUGCAACUUUCAUCGGCUUCUCUCAUUUCCACCCCUCUUCCUUUAAGACAGCCCUCCUCGUGUUUCUCUCUUACCCGCCUGCUAGUCUCCGCUCUAACUGGCGUGUAUGUCAAUGACUGAGUGUACAGACGUGUGUAUGACUGUGUGCUUUUCCCCAAUACUCAACGGUUCAACACUCCUGAACACAGGAGGAAAAUAAAUCUUCGGCGGCAAAACAGUCGCCGCUUAUUGAAAAACAAACGUCCAACAGGCUCCACAACAGUCCCCCUCCCUACUCGUCUUUCCUUGUCUUCCUGGUCUGUACACAGGCGCGUGCAUGUGUGCUCAAUCUGCUCCAUGACUAGCAGUUCACCUUGUGCUGAUCGAUGCCUAGGUUGGCUGCUGUUGGCUUACCUGUGUAACCCUUACACAUCAACACAGACCGCCCCAACCUGUUGUCGCAUCCAGCCUGGAUUUUCUCUAAUAACCUUACAGCGUCUCCUUCUCUGUAACGAAAUCCGCCACCCACACAUUAUGCGUUCUUGCCCUGGUUUUUUCCCGCCAGGGUACGAAACCCACCCACCCCCCCCACCCUGGGCUUGCUGUGACACGACCUAGGGGCCAUCACUCCGGCAACAUGACCUUCAUGGCUGUCUUCACCAGCGUUCACGCUCAGCAAGCCACGCGCGACAUCAAGCAGUCAACACGUCCGACAUCCUUCACACCCUUCUCUGGGAGCAGAUACACAAAGGUCCCAUAGCGGGUCCGUGUCCAGUUAUCUCCAUACCCAUGUCCGGUGCUUGAGGACAGUGGAGUUGUCUUGCCUUUCCGCUUCUUCAUCCCUCUUCAUGGCAAGGAAACGCUCGGAGUAAUCUGGGGUCAAAAAGUGCACAAGCGCAGAAACUAGCAGAUCCUUAAAAAUACUUUUUAAAAUGUCAGGAUUUCAUCAGCAGUGUCAUCCUCUUCGGUUCUUGGCUUCUGUACAAUCCGGAUACGGCCCGAGACUCCCUCUGUCACGUGACUCAUUUGCUUUCAGACGAUCUCACUCUCCGUAUUCACAGAGCUGGAUGGCAGGCGUCGCAACAUUAGGAAUGUAUUGCCUGAUGAUUGCAGUUCCUUUCUUCUGAGCACAAGAUUGUUCUAUCAUCCCCCCAUCUCCACCCCCAUACACUUCCAGCAACAAGUAAUUCUACUCUGCAUGUUUCUACUCUCAAUUAAUACUUCCACACCGUGUUGUCCAGAAAGCUGUAAUUAUAUGCCGAAACACGUGUAGCAAUACUCAAGGUUCAAGUGACCCGCGAAGAAGUGAAUUCUUGGGCAAAGGCGAGGAAAAAAUCCAACUGGAGCACAGAGUCCCGGGAAAAUCAAAAAGGCUGCAAGAAAUAGAGUUCCGAGUCCAUGGCAGAUAAGGCAGAUCUACACCAGAGCUGUUCUUGCCAAGACCAGGUAAGCCCUCGCCAACGAAACCUGUAAACACAUCGUACGAUGGGCUGCAGUUGUUGUCCAAAAGAUAGAGCAACGUAACGUAGCCGUUGUAUAGCCGUGCCAACUGCUUCCAGCGUGCCAGCUCGUGUACACACUCUCAGACUCUCUCCCCUGGUGAGAUGGCGGGUGAGGGCAGAGAGUUGUUUCUCGCUGUUUGUCCGCUGCCGCCACUGUUCCUUCUCCAAAAGCCCAGCAUGCUCCACGACAUGUCCGAGGGGAAAAAAAAGUCUACCAUCUGUCUCUCUUUGCGGCCUAUCUUGGCCUGUACCUCUCCGCACGUGUCAAGAACUUGUGGGAUACGAAGAAGCAGCUGAUGCAUACACAGCUGUCGUGGGGCCUGUGGUUCUUCACACAAACACACUGCGACGUGCACUGCUUGGUACACACGCUCUCGUAAAGUAAAGCAGCUUCAGUCAAUCGCAGAGCCCUCGGUCACAUUCUCCUACAUCAAUGUCGACACAGGCUGUGGCUGCCACACCACACGCUGUCCUUCCAUUGUCUUUUCUCUCCCAGUCCAGUAGGAUGUACAUCACACAGGUAACAAUUCCGAAAGCGUUUUCAAUCAAAUUGACAACAUUUUUCAAUGUGGUCCUAAGCAUAAUGAAACUUCAUGGAUAUCAGUUGCACACGGCAGGAAGCAGGUCUGUCUAAAGCAAUGUUGUCACAACAAAUCCCCAAGACCCUCUUCUUUCCCCUGUGGUGACAUCUCACACAUCCUCUGUACCUGCUUAUUCCCAGACCACAACAGUAUUGUAGUUUCACCAGCGUCUACUACACUACAUGCAGUGUAAUGUGCUGAAACAGGGACGCUUGAAGAACAUGCAAGAGAAUAUCCGAUAGUGCUGGGGGUAGGAGCUGGGAGAAGGAAUGGGAGACAGGCUGACGGAUAUAGAAGAUAAUGACAGCGAUGUGUGUGUGUAGGGUGGGGGGGAUUUAAUAUAUGCAUUAGAGUUAUGCAUACCGGCACUGAUGAUUCAUAAGGACACCUUCAGUACACGGCCGCGGAUGGAAAAGCAACAUGGCUCUAGUCUACCCGGCUGAAAUUACACCCGAGUUCUCCACAGUGCAGUCAAACCACCGCACCCGUACCUACAGGAACAACGCUGCUGCCUUGACUGCGCUCCCCGUCCCGUUUCCUACGGCUCCCUUGGCAACCAGGAGGCAGUUGCAGGGUGUUCCUGGCACAACGAACUUCAAGACCUGGCAUCAAGCUGCAAGGACACAUGUCCAUCGCCCUUUGACCUUCUAUAGUUCGCGGCGCGCCGUACAGUCCCAGCGCCAGAAGAGCUACGUACCGAAGUGACGUAGACGAGCACCACUCAGGAAUGUAUGAACUAGGUUUCUUAGUGUGCAGCUGUACGGGAUACUAUCCCCAUCUACGCCUGCUAAAAACGUGUGGUCCCACCAGAAAUGCACAAACAUACACACAGACACGCACAAAGCACAUUGAUGUCGCCCAUCUGUACCAGGUCAUAUCACGUGACCCCCUCGAACCUGGGCGCCAAGCCUCCUUCGACCCACCAUCCACCUACCCCCACACCCACCAUAAACACACACUUGAGUGUUUUUAUCGGAUGUCGGUGACACAGCAGGUGCAGGCGCGAGGACACCCGUGACGUCGGGCGAGGCUCCAUCCACUCCGACCUACACACGCUCGGCCAUUCAAAGAAAGAAAGAAAAAAAAGAGGUUACUGCCACGUUCUCGUCUUCAAAGUGAUGUCUCUAGUUUCGCUGCCACCGCCGCCUCCCAUUGAAUGCAAGCGACUCCUCCCUGGGCCGCAUGCGCGCGCUUCCCGCCGGCGCGUGGACGUGCAGACAGGUACUGCGUGCACAUGGUUGCACACGUGUUUACUUGUCAGCAUGGGCAUUCCUUGCAGCUACCUGGCGGCACACGUCUUGCAUGUCCCUGACACGGUGCCGCCACUGAUGGCACUGAUGCCGCCACUGAUGCUCCUUGUGGCUGACCAGCGCCCUAUCCCCUACCCGCCUUCCUGUCUCUCAAGGCCGGACUAACGGGACGACCCGUCAUCGACAUCCUGCUACACCCACAGCUUCCGGGACGUGUAAACAUAGACGCAUAAAAAUAUUGUAGUUGGGAAACUGUUAAUAACAGGAGAAAAUGGAAAAAAAAGAGAGGAGAAUAUAUCCCUUCUCUCAUGGUCGCCAACAGCCUCCACUGGGCUACAAGACCAGGUGUGUGUGUGAGAGAGAGUGCUUGCUGUGCUCUAAUAGGGAGGGUUGGGAGGGGUGGGGGAGGAUGGAAGACUCGCUGGAUCUCAAUUACGUGGACCAGACCUUGAGGUGACAGAAGAAUGAAUAAUUAGGCGUGUUUCAUCCCAAGUACAAACUAACACCGUGUAAACAGCACAAACAUCUAGUUUGCACAAUUGGAGAUUUUCGAAUGUGCCAAAGCGAUGAGAUCACGUGGCAUGGUGUAGCCAACCCGGUAGUCUUGGAAUGGGGCGGAGACCAAAUUAAAUUACAUUAUGCUGGCACCCGCCCUUUGCGGUCAUUAACUGUAUCAGGCGCGGCGGAAGAGAGCUGUGGUGCCUGCUAACUCUUGACCAGACUAUAAAUAAGGGUGGAUAAAUGGGUAGAAGCAGGUGUCGGUGUAUAAGGGCCAACCUGUCGUCCCGCAUCAAAGUACGGCGGAAGUGGAACCGGAAACCUCUCUCGUCUCGCUCUGUGUGUGUGUGUGUGCGCCCUUUUGAUUGAAUGGGCGACGGCUUGUACUGGCGAGAGGCUCCAGCUGAAGUUUGCUUUUGACGUGCAUGCCAGUGAGUCUCUUACUUCUCACGCGCUUGCCUACACUUCCUCUUUAUCCAUCAACUUGCCUACGCUUCCGCUUUAUUUGUCAACAGAUUCAAACGGUACCAACCAACCCUCCCCCUUUUUUACACCUACAUUUGUCAGAACGUUACUUACCUGCGCAAGUGUCCACCCUCUGUGUCUUACCCUAAGGCCCCCACCCACCAACUCCCUUGCAGGCAACUUUCUCUCUUACUCUCCUACGUUUUCCAAUCAGCAAUCGUUAAUCUUGGCGACUACCGAAAGGUCAGCCAGCUCUGCCUAAUGAAAUAUGUAAGUCACACAGGUAGGACGGGAGGAUCAGCCCGUGCCCUCCGCAGCCUCCUCAGUGUGACGAGCGACAGGCAGUCGGGUGCAGAAGACGUCAAAAGCUCUUGAUGCUCGCAAGCCUGUCGGGCGCCGGCUCCGGUGUGACACGUGAUAUUGUGUUACACUGCGCCACAACUAACGAGUGUGAGGACAGCAGACUCCAACAGGAGAAAGCCAUGUUGGCGGUAUAACAAGCUUUAGCCUGGUACAUUUGUUACCUCACGUAAUCGUCGGUACAAAAUGGGUUUAGCCGGGAUUAAGGCAGCGAACGUUAGGAGAGACGAGGAUAGCAAGUGCAUUAAGUGCACGCGAGACUAUACUCAAAUUAAUAAUGCAGCGUCCAUCUACUCGGGGCCGCGUGACGACUGCUGCCUGCGCUGCAACUUCCUGGAGGCAGAAUAUUUUAGUAGCAGAAGCCUCGCGAUGGUGCACAAUUCCAUUCAUCAAACCUUCGCUUUCAUCCGAGUUUUCUCUUGACCUGUGGGUGCUCAGGCGGAGUUGAAGUAAUGUCAGCUAUCGGGCAUGCCUCUAGUCCUCUGCCGCUGCCGCCACCCACAACAUUGCUCUGUCAUCUGUUCACAUUCUCUCUCUCACACACAGUGUUACCAAACCGCUGGAAUCAAUUAUUGUGGGUUGCCAUAUGUCGUUCCCUAUCUCUUACCUAGCCCCAGCCCAGGUGUUGUCUUUGACGUCUAUAAACAUGAUGAAGACUUCCCGAGACACGGGGGUGUGGGGUGUGGUGAGGAACCAUGCCGGUGGAGUUGGGUCUCGACCUCGGGUGCGAAGCUGUCAGUCGCGGUUGCCGGGUGAAAGCUAAUGACAGUGGCGUCUGUUUGGGGCGCCAUCGGGUGGAUGACACUGGGGUCAAGAUGUGAUCGUUACGUCACCUACCUGCUUACUGUUAACGACCGGCGACAUGGCGCUAGCUGACCCCGCCAGUCAAGCUUUCGUGGGAACGUGUUGGCGAUGAGGAUGACCACGUGACUUACAGGCAUUUCCUUCAAGUAAUCAUGCCUUCGGGCAAUUAGGCCUUCUUCCCUGCGCUUUCUCGUCACCAGUAUCAUCUUAUUUCCUCUUUCCACCAACUCGCCGCCGGUCUUAUCUAGAAAAUGAUGUCAAUCGUGUUGUCUAAGGAACAGUGCGACUGCAAGCUCCAAAAGGAGGUCGGUGGCAUAAAUAAUACAUACUGACGAAUUGUUUUUCCAAAUAAGACAGGGGCGUGACGUCAAAUACUCAUCAAAACAAGAUCCGCAUAACGAUAAUAACAGCGAGGAUCAACACGGAGACCAGCCACAGAAGUGGCACAGGUACGGGUGGUAAAACAUUGAGUCAGCAGGUGUUUAGGUUCCCUCGCGCCUGACGUCCACCACCUCUUACUAUGAACAGCAACGAGUGACGUGUGUGAUGUUGCUUGCGAUGUAUUUGCUGUGGUCUGUUUGUUGAUGUACGUCCAGAUACCCGCGUGGUACUAGACAUGCGCUGUCAGGUGGUAGGUGCUCAGUCCUGCCAUGACUAGCGUUGACCUGCUCUUGUGGUGCCGGGUGUUUGAGGAACGCGCCGCGUCACCGGCACCAUGGUUACCUGAGCGCCUGGGAGUGGCACGUCAGAUGACGUCAUGAUCGCUACAUUCACGCAACACCCUUGAUGCACGCGCGUUCGAUCGUUAUUAACUGUUAACUUCAUCCAAAUCAUUCAAGGUAACCAUAACACAAACACGAGUAGCGAGAAGCCUAGCCAGCACAGGCAAUACAGUAGUAGCGAGUAGAACGUAGAACAUACACGUCUACGGCGUCGCCAGCCAGGACAGGGAAUGGACAGUCAGUUCCAGACACCUGGCUUCAGACAGCAAACCUGACAUCUUGUAUCCUGCCUUUCAUACCUGUACGAUAUGUAUAACAGCUGUAUAUAUAAAGUAUAUAGACAAAUUCUGGGACCGAGCACGUCACGAGUCUGUGCCAAGCGGAGGUGGAGGUAGCCGGGGUGGUGGUUGGGGUUCGGCAAUAAAAAGCUUGGGCCCGCCGCGGUGCAAAAAGACUGUUGGCUAGUUUCCCCUUACACCUGGCCACACGCACGAUUGCCGCUGACCAGGCUUUUAAAAACUGCAGGAAGAUAAGAGAGAGAGAGGGGGGACAUGGGGGAGAGGCAGUGAGGAGGAGUGUAGCCGCUGACUUGCUCCCCGGCACGAGCCCAGCUCGUGUCCCCCCCUGACUGGCAGCGCCGCUUUUCCCGCCACAGCGGGCUGCGCCUCAUUUGCAUAUAGGUGCGCGUGCGCGCCAUGCCGGGCGCCCCCAACAUCAAUUGGCAGUUAAGCCUUGGAAUUAUUGCAAGUGGGACAGCUACUGCCGCACUGGCGUCGUAAACAGCAUUUUACUUACCUUCUUCUUAGUCCGCCCGAACCUUGGCAAAUCCUGUGUGCGUGUUUUGCGCGGGACGAUAGAUGAAAGCAGUGGAUCAUAUUCUCACACACACUGGCAACACACGAGUACAAGCAAACUAAUUCCCAAUAUUUAUGCAAUACUCAAUAUACCUAUAGAUUUCACUCCCUGUUCACACCUGACAAACUUACACCCUUUCUCUCCUUUCUGUUCAUUGAUGCGUGCGGUUGUCGAAACAACUGCAGGUGUGACCUUUCUGGAGGUCACGGCGAUCUGGUCUGGCAGUCUGCCUUGAUAACUGUGGGGACUGAUGGGGUGGAGGUGGGGAGGUGAGGAGAGACAGCGAAACGCCAACACACGCGCACUCGGCGCCUUGAAGUUUCAGAAAAGACUAGGCUCAGUUACAUACGGGACUUUCCUGACGAAAGUACAUAACUACGAGUAACUGCCGGCCCUCUCACCAUCCCUCCAGAUCACUCCACCUGCUCUUUAUCCGGCCUUUGUAGUCGGCCGCCCUACCUCCCUGAAUAAAUUGCCCACCCAGCCUUCUCCCGCUAUUUCCUCUCUCCCGUGUCCUCCCUCCCCUC